rnacentral:lncRNA from 1 species
AGGCAUGGAAGGACAUGGAGGGGCAGCAAUCCUCAGCAGUCCUACUCAGCAAAGCAAGUUUUCCCAGGCCUGUCUUCAAGCUGAUGAAGCACAGAACAGUCUCAAAUCCAUCUUGCAUAUCUGAGAAAGAGGGACUGAGAUACUUCACAGAGAAAAGCAAUAAGGAAAUGCAGAAGUGAAAAGGAAAAGAGCAAGGAGCAGACUGAAAAAGUUGGGAACUAUAACCCAAGAGGAAUAGGAAUGACGUACUGCUAGGCUCUGAAGAAGAACAGAAUAAUCAGCUGACAGCAGAAAGCAAGCCUAAAAUUUACACCAGAAUCGGGAAUAGGUAUUGACUAUAGGCUUCACUGUAAAAUUGACAGUUCUGUCACCCAAAGUGUUGCAGCCAAGGAAGAUGUAUGGUAUCUGCCAUGAGCAAAAGUUUGGCAAUAGAAAUGCUGAAUGAUAAGGACCUCAACACUGAAAAUUUGACUGAAAGCACUGGCAUUAGCAAAAUAGAAAUUCACUUUUCUAUGUCUUAUUUUUUACUGUAUGGCAGCAGACAAAAUUAUGUGUGGUUAAAUAAACAUUCUGUUUUAAAUGAUAAUAAAUCAUUUAAGCUCAUGCGACUUUAAAAGAAUAAUAUCUAUUAUUAAAC